GCUUGCUUUUCAAAGUUAGUGGCGGACGGGUGAGUAACGCGUGGGUAACCUGCCUCAUACAGGGGAAUAGCAGCUGGAAACGGCUGAUAAAACCGCAUAAGCGCACAGUGCCGCAUGGCACAGUGUGAAAAACUCCGGUGGUAUGAGAUGGACCCGCGUCUGAUUAGCUUGUUGGCGGGGUAACGGCCCACCAAGGCGACGAUCAGUAGCCGGCCUGAGAGGGUGAUCGGCCACAUUGGGACUGAGACACGGCCCAAACUCCCUACGGGAGGCAGCAGUGGGGAAUAUGGCAACAAUGGGGGAAAACCUGAUGCAGCGACGCCGCGUGAAGGAAGAAGUAUCUCGGUAUGUAAACUUCUAUCAGCAGGGAAGAUAAUGACGGUACCUGACUAAGAAGCCCCGGCUAACUACGUGCCAGCAGCCGCGGUAAUACGUAGGGGGCAAGCGUUAUCCGGAUUUACUGGGUGUAAAGGGAGCGUAGGCGGCGGAGCAAGUCAGAAGUGAAAGCCCGGGGCUCAACCCCGGGACGGCUUUUGAAACUGCCCUGCUUGAUUUCAGGAGAGGUAAGCGGAAUUCCUAGUGUAGCGGUGAAAUGCGUAGAUAUUAGGAGGAACACCAGUGGCGAAGGC
rnacentral:rRNA from 1 species